CCUACGGGAGGCAGCAGUAGGGAAUAUUGGUCAAUGGGCGCAACCCUGAACCAGCAACGCCGCGUGGAGGAAGAAGGCUUUCGGGUUGUAAACUUCUUUUCUCAGAGACGAAAAAGAUGGCGGUACCUGAAGAAUCAGCCACUGCUAACUACGUACCAGCAGCCGCGGUACUACGUAUGUAGCAAGCGUUAUCCGUAUUUAUUGGGGGUAAAGGGCGUGUAGGCGGGAGCGCAAGUCAGAUGUGAAAACUCAGGGCUCAACCAUGAGCCUGCAUUUGAAACUGUGUUUCUUGAGUGCGGGAGAGGUAAGUGGAAUUCCGGGUGUAGGGGUGAAAUGCGUAGAGAUAAGGAGGAACACUAGUGGCGAAGGCGGAUUGCUGGACAGUAACUGACGCUGAGGCGCGAAAGCGUGGGGAGCAAACAGGAUUAGAUACCCGUGUAGUC
rnacentral:rRNA from 1 species